GUUUCAUAGUUUCUUCAUGAGACUUUUACCCUAAAGAAUUGCAAUUGCGACUGCUUACCUAGUCUCUUUUCAUUUUUUCUUUACCUCUUCACGGUUAUCAGAAUGCAGCUGAUAAACACCCUUACCCCAUGCUGUCUUUCUAUCUUCAGAACCACAGACCUGUACAUUGAGGGAUUUUCUCUGCAGCAAUGGAGACUGUGUUUCAUCAAGGUUCUGGUGUGAUGGAGAGUUUGACUGUGCUGAUGGUUCUGAUGAGAAAAAUUGUGAAACGAGUUGUUCCAAAGAUCAAUUUCAGUGUUCCAAUGGCCAAUGUCUGUCAGCAAAAUGGAAGUGUGAUGGACAUGAAGAUUGUAAAUAUGGAGAAGAUGAGAAAAACUGUGAGCCAGGUAAAAUUAGAAUCGAGUAUCCACAUUAGUGCUUCCUCUAAAUGUGAUGGAAUUUA
rnacentral:lncRNA from 1 species